rnacentral:lncRNA from 1 species
UCACCAUCCUCAUAAUGAUACUAUGAUCGAGAAUAUUUAGAAAUUAAUUAUAUAUACCUCUAAUUCUCAACAUCUUAAGAAUAUGUAUCGAAGUAUUAAUUUCAUGGACGAUUCAAGGAUACAUCACUCUUGAAUAAAAAUUAAACUUACUCUUUUAUUGAUCAAAUCAAUGUAUUAAGUACAAAAUUGUAUCCUAGAUUUAUUACAAUAUGUCAGCCAUAUUGAUUUCUAAAAUAUAUAUCUAAUAUUUAUAUGAGCUAAUCAUAAUACUUUACCAGAAGUCAAUUCAAAUAGCUC